UGGUGGGUUGCCUUGUCAGGUUGAUUCCGGUAACGAACGAGACCUCAGCCUGCUAAAUAGUUACGACUGUCUUUGACAGUUGGCCAACUUCUUAGAGGGACUAUUGUCGAUUAGGCAAUGGAAGUAUGAGGCAAUAACA
rnacentral:rRNA from 1 species